GGAUUGUGGCUCAAAGGUUGAAUGCUUGCCUAGCAUGCGUGAGGCACUGGGUUCGAUCCUCAGCACCA
rnacentral:tRNA from 1 species